GCUUGGCGCCGUGGCAUGUGCCUGUAGUCCCAGCUGCUCGGGAGGCUGAGGUGGGAGGAUUGCUUGAGCCCAGGAGUUCUGGGCUGUAGUGCGUUAUGCCAAUCGGGUGUCCGCACUAAGUUUGGCAUCAAUAUGGUGACCUCCCGGGAGCGGGGGACCACCAGGUUGCCUAAGGAGGGGUGAACUGGCCCAAGUCAGAAAUGGAGCAGGUCAAAACUCCCGUGCUGAUCAGUAGUGGGAUUGCGCCUGUGAAUAGCCACUGCACUCCAGCCUGGGCAAUAUAGUGAGAACCCAUCGCUU
ensembl:misc_RNA Metazoa_SRP Metazoan signal recognition particle RNA